GUACUUACCUUUUCCCGAUCGCUUCCUCUUCUCUUCCUCUUUCCUAAUCUGUCUUCCUUUUUUCAUUUUUUAAUCUAUCUCUAACUAAAAACAUGAGACAAAGUAGGAACAACUUUAGCUUAUGCAUUUUUCCCAAGCAUGACUGGCCCUCUAGAAGUGUCAAUCCCCCCAACCGUCACCAGUGACAGCUACAGGGAAUUAGCUCUCUGGAGGAUCCUGCUGUCUUGUGGGAUCCUCUAUAGAACUCAAUGCUGUACUCUUGCACAAGAGCAAUGGGAAAGCAGUGACAUUGGCUGCUGGUUCUAAAGCACCAAGAACUGAAGAGGACCUACCGGAGGAAGAUGACUGUACCCACAAAGGACAGGCUCAGAUAAGUAGAACUCUCCUUCACCUUUUUCCCCAGCCACCAGAUCCCAGUGGCGAUGCAAAAGGUCC